GAUGAACGCUGGCGGCGUGCUUAACACAUGCAAGUCGAACGAGAAGUGAAGACGGAACCCUUCGGGCGGAAGGCUUUAUUUCGAGUGGCGGACGGGUGGGUAACGCGUGGGUAACCUGCCUCAUACAGGGGGAUAACAGUUGGAAACGACUGUUAAUACCGCAUAAGACCACAGCACCGCAUGGUGCGGGGGUAAAAACUCCGGUGGUAUGAGAUGGACCCGCGUUCGAUUAGCCAGUUGGCGGGGUAACGGCCCACCAAAGCGACGAUCGAUAGCCGAUCUGAGAGGAUGACCGGCCACAUUGGGACUGAGACACGGCCCAAACUCCUACGGGAGGCAGCAGUGGGGAAUAUUGCACAAUGGGGGAAACCCUGAUGCAGCGACGCCGCGUGAGUGAAGAAGUAUUUCGGUAUGUAAAGCUCUAUCAGCAGGGAAGAAAAUGACGGUACCUGAGUAAGAAGCCCCGGCUAACUACGUG
rnacentral:rRNA from 1 species